UUUGUAGCCUAUACGACCUAGGUCCACUGACCUUGGAGAUGAUGAAAGAACCCUCCCAUGGCAAAUUUAGCUUGUGCAGCCCUUGGUGUCUUGAAUACACUUGAGAACCAUAUCAUCUGUGUUGAAUGAACGCUCUUUGACGUUGCGACCAUGAUAGCGGCGAAUUCCUUCAACGUAUCUUGCUAAUUGGAUGAGUGUUGCAUAGUGAGCUUCUUCGAGGCUGUCUAAGUCUAGACACCUUGUU
rnacentral:lncRNA from 1 species